UACGAAGGGGGCGAGCGUUGUUCGGAAUUACUGGGCGUAAAGGGCGCGCAGGCGGCUCUGAAAGUCAGAUGUGAAAGCCCCGGGCUUAACCUGGGAAUUGCAUUUGAUACUCUGGAGCUUGAGUGUGGGAGAGGAGAGUGGAAUUCCCAGUGUAGAGGUGAAAUUCGUAGAUAUUGGGAAGAACACCAGUGGCGAAGGCGGCUCUCUGGACCGACACUGACGCUGAGGCGCGAAAGCGUGGGGAGCAAACAGG
rnacentral:rRNA from 1 species